GACGAACGCUGGCGGCGUGCUUAACACAUGCAAGUCGAACGGAAAGGCCCUUCGGGGUACUCGAGUGGCGAACGGGUGAGUAACACGUGGGUGAUCUGCCCUGCACUUUGGGAUAAGCCUGGGAAACUGGGUCUAAUACCGAAUAGGACCACGCGCUUCAUGGUGUGUGGUGGAAAGCUUUUGCGGUGUGGGAUGGGCCCGCGGCCUAUCAGCUUGUUGGUGGGGUAAUGGCCUACCAAGGCGACGACGGGUAGCCGGCCUGCGAGGGUGACCGGCCACACUGGGACUGAGAUACGGCCCAGACUCCUACGGGAGGCAGCAGUGGGGAAUAUUGCACAAUGGGCGCAAGCCUGAUGCAGCGACGCCGCGUGAGGGAUGACGGCCUUCGGGUUGUAAACCUCUUUCAAUAGGGACGAAGCGCAAGUGACGGUACCUAUAGAAGAAGCACCGGCCAACUACGUG
rnacentral:rRNA from 1 species